AACGAACGCUGGCGGCAGGCUUAACACAUGCAAGUCGAGCGCCCCGCAAGGGGAGCGGCAGACGGGUGAGUAACGCGUGGGAAUCUACCCAUCUCUACGGAAUAACGCAUGGAAACGUGUGCUAAUACCGUAUACGUCCUUCGGGAGAAAGAUUUAUCGGAGAUGGAUGAGCCCGCGUUGGAUUAGCUAGUUGGUGGGGUAAAGGCCUACCAAGGGGAAGAUCCAUAGCUGGUCUGAGAGGAUGAUCAGCCACACUGGGACGUAGACACGGGCCAGGAUCCUACGGGAGUCAGCAGUGGGGAGUAUUGGACAAUGGGCGCAAGCCUGAUCCAGCCAUGCCGCGUGAGUGAUGAAGGCCCUAGGGUUGUAAAGCUCUUUUAGCAGGGAAGAUAAUGACGGUACCUGCAGAAAAAGCCCCGGCUAACUUCGUGCCAGCCGCCGCCGUAACAC
rnacentral:rRNA from 1 species